CGACCUCAGGCCAGGCGGGGCUACCCGCUGAGUUUAA
rnacentral:rRNA from 1 species